UUUGUUUUUUAAUACUCGUUCUCACUUUAAAUUUCACCAGGGAGGGGUUUGGGAAGCGCUGCGUGUUUGGGGUGCGUUUUGCGCUUCCCGGUCUCUCCAGCCUACAAGUCGGGAGUCAACGACCGCUUAGUGACUAGGGACGACUUUAAAGAGCAGAAUAAAGCCUUUUCCGUGCCUGCCCCACAGCCCCUCCAGCUCGAGUAAUGGAGAGACAGUCAAUGCACUCUGCAAGCGGCGGCCCAUUGUACGCAGCUGACGGAGAGGAGGCGACUGGGGCAGGCAGGGGCUCCUUGCCCUCGGCCCCCUCCCCAAAUAAACGCUCUCACGUCUCCUGGUCAAUUAAAAGGGGAAAGGAACACGAUUAAAAGACAAAAAAAAAAAAAAAAAGAAAGAAAGAAAGAAAGAAAAAAGAGAAGAAAAGAUUAAAAAGAGAAAGAAAAAAGAGAACAAGCUUUCUAUAUAUAAAUUCGAAAUUUUACUCCCCAUAUAGUACAGAGGCAGGCAGUCGAGGGCAGAGGAAGCAGGCAGAGAGAGGGAGACAAGGAGAAGGAAAGAGAACGCGGAGAGACGGAGCGAGUGGAAGAGGAGGCAAAAGCGAGCGCCAGGGAACCGGAGGCCCGCUGGACACCGAGUCUGCGGGUCCAGCCACCCUUGGACCCUGGACCGUGAGUCGUGGGCACCAGAAGCGAGACUUGGCCAAGUCCUUCCCCACCAGACAGGGAUUGAGAAACGGAAAUACCACCACCCUCCAGCCAAACUUGUGAGGACUGAUUGCAGGGGAACUGGUGCUCCAGAUGUUGCACUAGAGGCGCUGCGAGUGUGAGCAGAGCCGAUACAUAAUUUCCUGAUGUGAUCUCGGAAUUUUUCUGUGUGUAAAAGGGUGGCAGUGGGCCUACAUCAUGGGUUGUAGCAGAUGUUCUCAACAUUUCUGUUGGAACUUCUUUAUAUUCCCUUGAAAGAGGAGCCCCAGAGCCUCAUCCUGUGGUAGCUACCAUGCUCUGAUGUAAGGUGUUGUUCACCAGGGAGCUUUGGCAAGAGAGUUGGCCAGAUGAACAAGUUCAUCUCCAUUGUGGAAAAACAACUUGAAGCUCAUCUCUGUUGAAGGCAUAAACAAAUCCCAAGGUCAAAGACUGGUGGGGCUGAUGCUCACUGACUUCAAAAGAAAGGUCUAACUGUAGGGAGAGGAUCUUUACAGAAAUGAAAGAUCCCAGAGACUGUUGAAUCCCUUCACAUUCCAUUCCCACCCACCUUACUUCUCCAGAAGGAUCUUGAAUCCUUAUAAAGGGAUCAGAAUCAGGAGAAAAGUUGCUGUGCUUUGAGAUGCCUAAGAUGAAUACUCAAUACAAAAAGAAAAGUAUCACAAAAGUCAUGUAGGCUUCAUGCGCAGCAUGGAGCCCAACAUGGGGCUUGAACUCAUGACCCCAAUAUCAAGACCUGUACUGAGAUCAAGAGUUGGACGCUUAACUGACUGAGCCAACCAGCUCGAUAGUUGUUUUGGUGGAGGGACUGAUUCUAGAGCUUCCUACUCUGUCAUCAUCCAUGAUACUACUCCCCGCUGUGUUCAUUUUUAAAAGUGUUCCAGUUCACACAUUAAGUUUUAUGGUCACCCAUGGAUGUACUGUCUGUAGGACAGGGGUAGACUGAAUACCUGCUUCACUGAAUACCUGCUUCACAGCACCUUUCACAUUUUCUUGUUGGAAAGACAACCGUUGGAGAAUCAUCUUAUCAUCAGCAAAAAGGCAAACAAAUCAAGACAUUAAGAAUGCCACAGUGGCCGACAGUUAAUGAUGCCAGUGUUAUACAAGCUUCAGCAAAGUUUUCAAGACAGUGUGCCUCACUAGCCAGAAAUCAGGGAAGAUUGAACCUAUCCCUUUUGUCUCAGCUGUUCCUUAAACCUAUGCAACCCCUCCACAUUAAUGUGAAUUGAAACAUGCAUUGCCUUUUCAACUUAAUUGAGUACUUACUAUGGGUGAAUCACUGCACAAAAUAGGGGAGGGAAAAUGAGGGAGACAAGUAAGUUGUGUUUCCUGCCUUCAAUGGAUUUACAAUUAGUUUCAGGGCCCUUUUUUUUCUUCUGCUCUUAAUUAAGUGUGUUUCUAAGAUAGAAAACAAAUGAAUGCAUAAGUGUAUUCUGCAAGUAUUUUAAAUCCCUUUAAUAUAAAACAAAACAAAACAAUCUAAUGUGGGCAACUCAGGACAUCUUAAUUCCAUUUUUUUUGGAUGUCGAUAGGUAGGAUUUAUUUUAUUGAUUCUGUAAAUAUUUGGUAGACUUUAGAGAUAUUAACACAUUAGAGUUGGAAUUAAUUGAAUUAAAUUCUUUUUUCCCUCCUAGGUGUAGAUUGUCUGUUGAAAAAACAUAUUGUGUUUGUACAUUUCUUGCAGAGUGGGUAGGUGAAUUACAUCUUUUGUCUCUAUAGGCCUCUACCUUUUGUGAGCCUGACAUCCUGUGUGAGUUAUUAGCAUGGGGAAGGGGAAGAUUUGGAUCAAACUUGGGAAUAUUGUUCAUGAAGCCAAGAUAGGGCAGAGAUAGGAGCAAAACGGACCCAGGCAAUGACUCUGUCGGAAAAUUUGGCUAUUUCAGUAUUCAUGUGUUGUCCUCUAUGCUCCAAAAUUACUGUACGGUUUUUUUAAAAAACUUAUUUCUGAUCUGGGUAUAAGUCAUGAUUUUUCCAGUGUUAAGACACUAAAAUGACUAUAGAUACUAGACAUAUUAUGUAGUGUUUGUAACACAUUUUAGUAUGUAUGAAGCAACGAUAGACACGUCUUUGUCUUGAGUAGUGUCCAUCUGAAUGGAAAAUGUGCCAGCUUUUUUUUUUUUUAAAUAUCAUCAACAGACUUCUUAAUUAAGCUGCCAAUAAUACUGCCAAUAGCACUGUGCAUCAUUUGAGAAAUGAGUUGUGAAGUGCUGUUUCCCUCUUAUGUUGCUCCAUAUAAAAUGGAUUUAAAGUGUUCUUUGAAUGGGACAUUAUAUUGCUCCCUAAAGAAUUUGAUGAGAAUUCUCAUACCUUCCGUUUUUACGUAAUUUCCAAAAACCUUUAUUUUGCUGCUUGGUAAAGAAUCGUUCUAAUUUGACCAAUGACUUUAAUUAUAUGAUCCAUCCUUAAUAGGAUGAAUCGUGCUGCCCCCAAACUCCUGAUGGUGAUACUGGAUAUUCGUUAAUCUGAGUUCCAAAACUAUAUUGUACUAAAUUGUAGACAUUUAUUUCCUGUUCUGGGAAAUUUUUUGGAGGGACCAUCUCUAUGUUCCUGGACCUAGCACAGUUUACUCAACACAUACCUACUAUGCACCUACUAUGGUGCAUAGUAGGUAUGUGUUGAGUAAACACUUGGUGUUCAAAACAUGUAAAGUAGCUUUUUUCUGUGGUUCUUAAGGCUCUAUAAAAGACAGAGGGGUCUUGCUAACAGAGUAGCACCUUCAUCAGUUUACAGUCAAUCUAGUGAGAGUAAGUCCACAUUAUCCGGAUUUAUUAUAUUCAGUCUAGUCCACUGGGCUUCUUAAUGGGUGUCUUGGAUGCAUCAGUUUAGCCCUGUGAUUUGUACUAACAUCCACUCUGCUUCCCCUGGCCCUUGGCCAGCUCCAUAGGGGUGGGCCCUUGGAGGGGCUGUUCUGCUUCUCCUCCUCUGGCUUGUCUACCACUAGAAGAGCAAUCACUCUAGUCACUGGGUAUUCACGACAUGCCAGCCGCUGAGCUAAGUGUUUUACACAUAUCCUCUCACUUAAUUAUCUCAUUUAAACCUCACAGCAACCAUUUGAAGUAGGUAUUAUCUACUGUAGAGAUAUGUAUGUAUCUUGCUUAAGUCAUGGGGAUCUAAAUCCAGAUCUCUUAGAUUCUAAAGCCUGAACUAUUAACCUCUCCCCUCUGCUGCAUCCCAGGAGAAAUUUCCAGUGCCUGGUGGUAUGGGGGCAGAUCAAAUCUGGAUGUAGUCCAGAUUCAUUUCAUUUAGUAUUCCCAAACAGCAAACUGUCUAACAGAUAAAACCCAGCAAAUCACAGUUGUUUUGAGAAAGGGGGAGGGAAGAGCAAUUGGGAGAAAGCAAAGUUGGAAACAAACCAAUUUGAGUCAAACCUUUAGCCUUUAUCUCAUAAUGUCUUUUUUUUUUUAACUUUCUUUUUUUAACAUGGCCUGACACCAUGUGAUAAAUCAAAGCCUGACGUAAUUGACCCAGAAUUGAUCCCCAAAUGUCUUUUGGGGGAACAUGCUUUAACUCUCGUUGUUGAUUCCGAGGAAUAAUUGCCACCCUAGAAAGGUUUGAAGAUGUUCCUAUUUAGUGAAGUUACAAGAAGUGAUUUCAAAAGGUGAAUUUAAGAUGAAGUACAUUCCAGUGGUUUGAUGAUCUUUUCCAAGUUUCUUAAAAACUUUGGUACACAUCCCGAAGCCACAUGAAUCUGAACAUUUGGACAGUGAGGGAAUUCAAGACUCAUCCCCUCCUCCACUUGGAUUGAAACCCAUGUUUAUCUUCCUUGCUGUCAGGAUGGAAACAUGUCUCAGAAGGAGGAGGGCAGUUUAUAUGUGCAUUGGCUACCUAUCUGCUACCUGUCAAGAGAAGAGUUCUUCAUUGCCCUCACAAUCACAUUGAACAUAGUCAUGGUGUGGGCUUAGGGACUGGUUCUUUAAGUUCUUUCUAGAAAAGUUGUAGACAUUUUAGUCAAGUUCUAAAUGAAGGCACUGGUUUGAACAUUUUUUUAUAGCUUAUUUUCCAAAUCAGUAAUUCUAAUUUAAUUGAUUUAUUUGACUCUAAUAUAAUCAUUCUAUUUCUGAUCAUUCUAAUUUGUUUGCUAAGAUUUAUUCCAUUUGGUGUUUAUUGUCUUGUAAAUGACAGUCUAAAACACUCGAGUUAUGGUCUUAAGCCAAGUUGGUGGUUUAUUUUCAGGAAGAGGGAAAGGUAUGGCUUCAGGUAACUUUAAGAGAAUCUAUGUCAUGCAGAGUUGGUGCUGAAAAUGAAUUCAGAAAAAAAGCAUUCUUUAAAUCCAUAUCUUAUAAAAAUGUUACACUUAAUGAGAUAUAUUUAUACUGUUAUUUGAAGAGAAAUGACAACAUGUUUAUAGACACAAUAACCAUGGCCAUGAGGGACCGAUGAAGCUGAGCUUGCUCUGUCUCUUCUUCGUGUGACUAAAAUGUUGCUCCAUCGGGUACCUGACUGCAUUGUGUUUUCCUUGGCAACUCAAAUACUAAGAUGCCCUGGGCAGCAAUGGUCUGACUUCACCUCUUGGUGAUAGGCAACAGAUGCCACUUCUCAAUAAGAACAAAUUAUUGUACAAGGUAUAUAGGUUUGGAAAUGUCUUCAGUCCUUUGUUUCUAAUCAGGCUAUUGGUAGAAAUGGAAAAGACUGGUGUCUAUCUGGGGACAUUGAUAGCUGUUGAUUGUGGAUGUUGAAUGGGCAUUGGGACUAUGAAAUCCAGAUCUGGAUAAAAGUCUGGAUUGAUGGUAGAUGCAAGGAUGGGUUGGACUCUGGGUAAAACCUGGUUUUGAGAGAUCAGCAGGCUGGAAUGGGAAUGUCCUAGUUCUGAAAGCCAGGUAUUAGAACUAUCCAUGGGAGUGCCAAAAAAAAUGAGGAUAAGAGCAAGCAGUGAGCUGGAAGCCAGGUAGACAUUAAGACAAGGGGAGCCUCCAAUUCCAGAUGUCCAAAUGAGGAAGUAGUCCAAAACUAGGCAAUUGCCAGCAACCAGUCACCUGGGGAGCUGAGGAAGAAUGGCCAAAGAGCAAGAGCACAGGUAUGAGAGCUUGGAAACAAAAAGGACUAUGAUAGAUGAGGCAGCUUUCCGACUUCAGGUGCCAGAAGGAAGGGGGGACCUCAGUCAGAUACACAGGUGGAGCAAACACAGGAGGGAAUCGGAUUCUGGCUUUGCUGAAGCGACAGCUGACUUCUGGUAGACAGCUGUUGAAGAUUGGUGUGUCUCAGGAGUCUGCAGGAACUACUUACUAGGUUUUUUCUCUGAGUCCUGAACCUUGUCUCCCUGACAGUUCUUGACCUUCAACUCCCUCAGAAAUUUUCCGGUAAUAACCUGGUUCAAGCCUGAUUUCAGAUAGGACAUCUCAUAUAAAGGCAGGAAAGCUCUAUACCAAAAUAUUUACAAAGGCUAUGGGUGAUUAUGGGUGUUCUUAAUUUUCUUUUUCUUAAUUUGUAUGUAUUCUGUACAGUGAUCCCUUAUUACCUUUGUAAGAAUUAAAAAUAUAAGUGAGUCUCCUUUUAAAAUUUGGUGUUUUUCUCAGUUUUAUUGAGAUAUACUCAAAUAAUAACAUUGUGUAAGUUUAAGGUGUACAACAUAAUGAUUUAAUUUAUGUGUAUAUUGCGAAAUGGUUACCACAACAAGUUUAGUUUACAUCCUUCACUUCAGGGCACCUGGGUGGCUCAGUCAUUAAGCGUCUGCCUUCGGCUCAGGUUAUGGUCCCAGGGUCCUGGGAUCGAGUCCCACAUCGGGCUCCCUGCUUGGCGGAAAGCCUACUUCUCCCUCUCCCACUCCCCCUGCUUCUGUUCCCUCUCUCGCUGUGUCUCUCUCUGUCAAAUAAAUAAAUAAAAUCUUUAAAAAAAAUCCUUCACUUCAUGUAGUAAUAGAAUUUUUUUCUUGUGAUGAGAACUUUUAGUAACUUUCAAAUGUAUAGUAUUGUUAACUAUGUCACCAUGCUAUACAUUAUAUCCCCAGAAUUUAUUUAUAUUAUAACUGGAAGUUUGUGCCUUUUGACCAUCUAUACUCUAAUCCCUCACCCCUCAUCCCCUACCCCUGGCAACCACCAGUCUGUUCUUG